rnacentral:rRNA from 1 species
AGAGUUUGAUCAUGGCUCAGGACGAACGCUGGCGGCGUGCUUAACACAUGCAAGUCGAGCGGUAAGGCCCCUUCGGGGGUACACGAGCGGCGAACGGGUGAGUAACACGUGAGCAAUCUGCCCUUCACACGGGGAUAACCACCGGAAACGGUGGGCUAAUACCCGAUACGACCACUUCAGGCAUCUGAUGGUGGUGGAAAGUUCCGGCGGUGGAGGAUGAGCUCGCGGCCUAUCAGCUUGUUGGUGGGGUAAUGGCCUACCAAGGCAACGACGGGUAGCCGGCCUGAGAGGGUGACCGGCCACACUGGGACUGAGACACGGCCCAGACUCCUACGGGAGGCAGCAGUGGGGAAUAUUGGACAAUGGGCGAAAGCCUGAUCCAGCAACGCCGCGUGAGGGAUGACGGCCUUCGGGUUGUAAACCUCUUUCAGCAGGGACGAAGCGCAAGUGACGGUACCUGCAGAAGAAGCACCGGCCAACUACGUGCCAGCAGCCGCGGUAAUACGUAGGGUGCGAGCGUUGUCCGGAAUUAUUGGGCGUAAAGGGCUCGUAGGCGGUUUGUCGCGUCGGGAGUGAAAACUCAGGGCUUAACCCUGAGCCUGCUUCCGAUACGGGCAGACUAGAGGUAUGCAGGGGAGAACGGAAUUCCUGGUGUAGCGGUGAAAUGCGC